GACGAACGCUGGCGGCGUGCCUAAUACAUGCAAGUAGAACGCUGAAGGAGGAGCUUGCUUCUCUGGAUGAGUUGCGAACGGGUGAGUAACGCGUAGGUAACCUGCCUGGUAGCGGGGGAUAACUAUUGGAAACGAUAGCUAAUACCGCAUAAGAGUAGAUGUUGCAUGACAUUUGCUUAAAAGGUGCAAUUGCAUCACUACCAGAUGGACCUGCGUUGUAUUAGCUAGUUGGUGGGGUAACGGCUCACCAAGGCGACGAUACAUAGCCGACCUGAGAGGGGGAUCGGCCACACUGGGACUGAGACACGGCCCAGACUCCUACGGGAGGCAGCAGUAGGGAAUCUUCGGCAAUGGACGGAAGUCUGACCGAGCAACGCCGCGGGAGUGAAGAAGGUUUUCGGAUCGGAAAGCUCUGUUGUAAGAGAAGAACGAGUGUGAGAGUGGAAAGUUCACACUGUGACGGUAUCUUACCAGAAAGGGACGGCUAACUACGUG
rnacentral:rRNA from 1 species